AAAAAAAAAAAGAAAAGAAAGAAGGAAAAAAAGCCCAGAUUAUUACCCCAAUUAUCCACACAAGAAAACUGCCUAUUGACUCUAGAAAAAGGGUUUGGCAUGGAUGCUUCAUAAUGAGUUCACCCCUUACUUUAUUGCACCACUCAAGCUUUUUGAUACCAACCAGUAACUUUUUCUUGUUUGUUUUGGAUAGCCAUGUGCAUCUUCUUCACAACUCAUUAUUCCAAACUUACCUUAAUAAUUAUUUAAUUUCAAAUUCACUAGGCUCCACAUUCCUCACAUAAUCCUUUCAAUAGAUUCUCUCUCCACCCUCAUCAUCCUUCUUUCUUUCUUUGUUAACAUAUGAAAGUAGAUUGAUAGUCAUAUUCUUUAAGAAUGUUAAUUGUGAAAAUUUUCAAAUUUUUAGUAAGAAUUUUCAUCAAGAUGAUGAAAUUUAUAGAGAUCAAGAAAAAAG
rnacentral:misc_RNA from 1 species